GCGGAAGUAGCUCAGUUGGUAGAGUAUCAGCUUCCCAAGCUGAAAGUCGCGAGUUCGAACCUCGUCUUCCGCU
rnacentral:tRNA from 1 species